rnacentral:rRNA from 1 species
UACGUAGGGGGGCAAGCGUUGUCCGGAAUCAUUGGGCGUAAAGCGCGCGUAGGCGGUCCGGUAAGUCUGCUGUGAAAGUCGGGGGGCUCAACCCUCGGAUGCCGGUGGAUACUGUCGGGCUUGAGUGCGGAAGAGGCGAGUGGAAUUCCUGGUGUAGCGGUGAAAUGCGCAGAUAUCAGGAGGAACACCAAUUGCGAAGGCAGCUCGCUGGGACGUUACUGACGCUGAUGCGCGAAAGCGUGGGGAGCAAACAGG